rnacentral:tRNA from 1 species
GAGGCUGUGGCUCAGUGGUUGAGGGCCUGCCUAGCAUGUAUGAGACACUGAGUUCGAUUCUCAGCACUACA